rnacentral:rRNA from 1 species
ACGUACACUCCUGCGGGAGGCAGCAGUGGGGAAUAUUGCACAAUGGGCGCAAGCCUGAUGCAGCCAUGCCGCGUGUAUGAAGAAGGCCUUCGGGUUGUAAAGUACUUUCAGCGGGGAGGAAGGCAAUACGGUUAAUAACCGUGUUGAUUGACGUUACCCGCAGAAGAAGCACCGGCUAACUCCGUGCCAGCAGCCGCGGUAAUACGGAGGGUGCAAGCGUUAAUCGGAAUUACUGGGCGUAAAGCGCACGCAGGCGGUCUGUCAAGUCGGAUGUGAAAUCCCCGGGCUCAACCUGGGAACUGCAUUCGAAACUGGCAGGCUUGAGUCUUGUAGAGGGGGGUAGAAUUCCAGGUGUAGCGGUGAAAUGCGUAGAGAUCUGGAGGAAUACCGGUGGCGAAGGCGGCCCCCUGGACAAAGACUGACGCUCAGGUGCGAAAGCGUGGGGAGCAAACAGGAUUAGAUACCCGUGUAGUCCCAUG